rnacentral:lncRNA from 1 species
CCAGACCCUCUUCGAAAAAUCCCUCAGCCACCGGCCCAUUUUCACACAAUAGUCCUUUACCUUUAGAAUUUUUAAGAGAUUCUCUCUUAUUAACCCUUAAAAUCACCAAAUCUAGAAACAGAAUCCCCCAAAUCUGUCAUUUGAGCCUCCUUUCCCAGAGAAGACAAAGCUCCAAAUCUAGAGCCUUCCAAAUACCCCCCUUAAUUUUCACUUUAGACCCCCGAUUUCUGUCCAAUUUGCGUCGAGAUUUGCGUUCUACCACCAUCCAUGGACCGAAAGCUUCAUCCAUAGUCACCUGCCCUUCACCCCAACUUCACCGGAGUUAUGUCACUGGUCAUCGAUUUUGUAGAGGCUUCCGCACCUUCAACACUGCUCCGAUCUGUCACAGAGGAAAGAUACGAAAUUUUAAGGUGGCCAUAUUUUCCGCAAGAAAAACAUACCUCUGGUAAAGCUUCAAAUUUCAUUCGUUGUAAACGCCCAUUGACCCGAAGUUGCGAUGUUAGAGGCUUCUCAAGAUCCACAACCACAGCUAUACAGGCGAAUUGACCCCUCACACCACUAUCAGUGUUUGUGUCUAGUUUUAUAACUUUUCCAACUAAACUUCCAAUAGCUUAUAAUAUUUUCUUUUGGUACAGGAAUCCCGACAGACCUGGAAAGCGGAUCCAAGCUAAGAUCCUAUUUGGAAAAGGCCUCGACGAGUCGAAGUCCACCAUCCACGGCUAAAUAGUGAGAUAGUGCCCAGACACUAUACAGGGACCCUGAGUCAGCACCACUUCAUAAUCCACCAUGCUUUGAAACUUAACAAGGUAAUACCCAUUAGCCGCAUCCAUUAAACGGAAGGGUUGUGAGGGUUUCCAGAGACUGACGAUACGAUUAUAUAGAGCCCCAUAGCCUAUAUUACGCCCUAGAAGCUUAACCACCACCGCAGACUCCAUAUCCUUAACCAGAAUCUUUUUAAUCCGAUCCGAAAAUUCUAUGCCAGGAAUUCCAUUGAUGACAGAUCUGAGGAUAUCACCAUCCUCCAACUCUAAAUCGAUAUUAAGGACACCACCUAGAGAACCCGAACCCGACCCACCCAAAAGUUUAUCUUUCUAGGUAACUCCAGUCACCGGAGUUGAGUCCACCACCUUCUUUAAACCGAACUGUUUUGGUGAUGCGAUCUUCAAUAGUGCCUUCACCAUCUUCAAUCUGAUCAACGGACAAGGAUUCAACAUCAUUCAUCGAGAAGAAUUAGUCAAUAGUAGUUUAUUUUAUUUAUUGCAAUCAUUUUUUUUACAAUGAAACCAAAUCAAUUUAAUUGCGAGUCUUUCGUGAUAAAUUUUUGACAAUUUAUUGCAAAAAUAUUGUAUUUUAUAAGAUGUUUUUAAAUUAUUAAGAAAAUUUUGGUAGUUUUUCUUAGGGGUGAGCAUUCGAUCUAAUCGAAUCAAAAAUUUUUGAAUCAAUCGAGUUUUCGAAUAUCAUUUUAUCAUCAUAACUUUAUUUGAAGUUUUCUCGAGUCGAGUGAGAUGGAAUUCAAAUUGAAUAUAUUUAUUCGAGUUAAAUUUUAAAAAAUAAUUUUAGUUCCUUGUAACUAUCGUCACUUAUCAUAAUAAAAUUUAUCCACCUUAAUCAAUUUUUUUAUUAAUUUUAUCACCUCAUAAUUUAUUUAUUAAUUUUUUAUAUACUGGUUAGUUUCUUUGUUUGUUUAAUUGUUUCGAUUAUCUUUAGAUUCUUGUCACUAUGUAUUUUAGAAUUAAAAAAUAUAUUAAAUGUAAAGAUAUGAUUUUUU